GCAGAGUGCAUAACACAUGCAAGUCGAGCGGAACUGGUCGCAAGAUCAGUUUAGCGGCAGACGAGUGAGUAACACGUAAACAAUCUACCCCCGAAUGGUGAAUAACCUGCCGAAAGGCAGGCUAAUGCGCCGUACUCUCCCCGGAAGGCAUCUUCUGGGAAGGAUAGACCCGCAAGGGUUGUUCAGGGAGGAGUUUGCGGCCCAUCANCUAGUUGGCGGUGUAACGGACCACCAAGGCUACGACGGGUACCCGGGCUGAAAGGCCGGACGGGCACGAUGGCACUGAGACACGGGCCAUACUCCUACGGGAGGCAGCAGUGGGGAAUUUUGGACAAUGGGCGAAAGCCUGAUCCAGCAACUCUGCGUGAGGGACGAAGGUCUUCGGAUCGUAAACCUCUUUUACAUGGGACGAAAUCCCGCAAGGGUCUGACGGUACCAUGCGAAUAAGCAACGGCUAACUAUGUGCCAGCAGCCGCGGUAAGACAUAGGUUGCGAGCGUUAUUC
rnacentral:rRNA from 1 species